AGUGAACGCUGGCGGCAGGCCUAACACAUGCAAGUCGAACGGCAGCACAGUAUGAGCUUGCUCUUACGGGUGGCGAGUGGCGGACGGGUGAGGAAUACAUCGGAAUCUACUUUUUCGUGGGGGAUAACGUAGGGAAACUUACGCUAAUACCGCAUACGACCUACGGGUGAAAGCAGGGGAUCUUCGGACCUUGCGCGAUCGAAUGAGCCGAUGUCGGAUUAGCUAGUUGGCGGGGUAAAGGCCCACCAAGGCGACGAUCGGUAGCUGGUCUGAGAGGAUGAUCAGCCACACUGGAACGGAGACACGGUCCAGACUCCUACGGGAGGCAGCAGUGGGGAAUAUUGGACAAUGGGCGCAAGCCUGAUCCAGCCAUACCGCGUGGGUGAAGAAGGCCUUCGGGUUGUAAAGCCCUUUUGUUGGGAAAGAAAUGCGGCAGGUUAAUACCCCGCUGUUCUGACGGUACCCAAAGAAUAAGCACCGGCUAACUUCGUG
rnacentral:rRNA from 1 species